GGUGUUGUGGCUCAGUGGUAGAGUGCUCGCCUAACAUGCAUGAGUCAAUGGGUUCAAUCCUCAAUACCA
rnacentral:tRNA from 1 species